rnacentral:misc_RNA from 1 species
AGUAGUAGAUGGUUGAGUCAUUCAUCUGUAAUACCAUCAAGGAACAUUAAUCAAUCAUAUUCGUGAGUAACCCAUAUAGCUGCAGACCCAUAUAGACUGCAAUAUCUUUUUUUACCCCCAUGGCAAGCUACUUCCCAAUAACAUGAAUACAGUGAAGUCAUGUCUGCAUGGCCCACAAGCUGUAAUCUAUAUUUUUAGUAGUAUAAAGUUUAAUAUUUGUAUCAAAUGGAAAUAAACUCACUUGUCUCUAUCCACAUUGUUUACGCGAUAGUUGGUUUGGAGCAUGAUAAAUAUCAGAACAUAUCAAAAAUUAAGGCCAUAUGAUAAUGAAUAUAAAUGAGAUUCAGCCACGGCAACAUGGUAAAUGAAUUAACAAUAACCAUCUAUU